UACGUAGGGGGCAAGCGUUGUCCGGAUUUAUUGGGCGUAAAGAGCGUGUAGGCGGCCUGAAAGGUCAGCUGUGAAAACUCGAGGCUCAACCUCGAGACGUCGGUUGAAACCAUCUGGCUAGAGUCCGGAAGAGGAGUGUGGAAUUCCCGGUGUAGCGGUGAAAUGCGCAGAUAUCGGGAAGAACACCCGUGGCGAAAGCGGCUCUCUGGAACGGUACUGACGCUGAGACGCGAAAGCGUGGGGAGCGAACAGG
rnacentral:rRNA from 1 species